rnacentral:rRNA from 1 species
AGCGUAGGCGGAUUUUUAAGUGGGAUGUGAAAUACCCGGGCUCAACCUGGGUGCUGCAUUCCAAACUGGAAGUCUAGAGUGCAGGAGAGGAAAGUGGAAUUCCUAGUGUAGCGGUGAAAUGCGUAGAGAUUAGGAAGAACACCAGUGGCGAAGGCGACUUUCUGGACUGUAACUGACGCUGAGGCUCGAAAGCGUGGGGAGCGAACA